UUCUCUCUAUACGUUGGUGUUCUAACCGAUAAUCACCAACACGAUAUUCUGUCCGAUCGAUUCGGAGACCAACGGACGAAUGCCAAAGGCUGUCUAAAUAAGACUAUACUUUAUGAAUUUCGUUAUGGUCCGGAUAUCGUGACUAUCGUUAGGUCUGAUUGAGUUAACACUAAUACGUAUUCCCCUCUGUUAAAAUCAAUGUUUAACUACCCCAAACUCUGCGCUAUACAAUCAAAAUAGAUGCUUAAUCAUCAGAAGAUACAGAACUACAAAGUAGAUGCUUAGAAUCAAGAUGCUUGUUUAAUUAAGACUAUAUGCUAACAAGGUAAUUACAGUAGAUUGGAACAAGAGUGAUGAUACGGCACCGAAAGGCUUAAAGAAGUGGCUUAUUUUAUCAAUUAAAUUAAAUUAAGAAAACCUGGUUUCAUAUAUUCGGGUUUAUCCCUUAUUAAAGCUACCUUUGUAGAACUUGGGUUUUAUACCAUCUAUUUAAUAAAUAAAAAUCCGGUGUUUUCUAAACUAUGAUAUUUUUUCUAACUCACGGUCCUGAUGAAAUUUCCGCUGCAAUACUUUUCAAAAUAACCACCGGACCACUUGACUGGUCGCGGCUCCCGUCCAGGGUGUGGUCGGGGGUCAUGACACUAUACAUCCUUAAGUUCAAGGGUUUUAUGGUAAUUAAAGAAAAGAGUGGCGGUUACAAAGUUGAGGGACUAUUUGUGACAAAUCAGAACUUGGUAACCACCACCCAAGGGUGGCGAAAUCCCUUGGGAGGCACCCCUUGGUCGAUUGGCACCCACAAGAAGGAAGUGACAUGACUUUUCAAUCAAAGGACACACCGCUUCAUGUUUAAUUUACUUCCACAUAUUCAAGAGACGCACCCGUUCGUGAAGAGAUGCGUCUAUUGGAUCGCACCCUUUAGAAACUAUAAAUAGGGAUAGAUUUCUCAUUUGUAAAUCACUCAUCAAUUGUAUUCUAUUGUAUUCAAACUCUCAUUUUAUAUAUUUCAAGUUAUUCGAUUGUCUA